rnacentral:rRNA from 1 species
AGUGAACGCUGGCGGUAGGCCUAACACAUGCAAGUCGAACGGCAGCACAGUAAGAGCUUGCUCUUACGGGUGGCGAGUGGCGGACGGGUGAGGAAUACAUCGGAAUCUACUUUUUCGUGGGGGAUAACGUAGGGAAUCUUACGCUAAUACCGCAUACGACCUACGGGUGAAAGCAGGGGAUCUUCGGACCUUGCGCGAUUGAAUGAGCCGAUGUCGGAUUAGCUAGUUGGCGGGGUAAAGGCCCACCAAGGCGACGAUCCGUAGCUGGUCUGAGAGGAUGAUCAGCCACACUGGAACUGAGACACGGUCCAGACUCCUACGGGAGGCAGCAGUGGGGAAUAUUGGACAAUGGGCGCAAGCCUGAUCCAGCCAUACCGCGUGGGUGAAGAAGGCCUUCGGGUUGUAAAGCCCUUUUGUUGGGAAAGAAAAGCAGCAGGUUAAUACCCCGCUGUUCUGACGGUACCCAAAGAAUAAGCACCGGCUAACUUCGU